AGUUUUUUGCUCUAGUACUUGUACUAGUGUGAAGGCGAACUGCUCACUAAUACGUAGUUAAUCUGACCUUGAGCGAGGGAUAAGCACGGCAAACUGUGUCUAAUACCUCAUAGAAGUUUGGUUCUGGAACGAUCUUACUUUGAAACGCUCUGGCUCAAGGGUGAGACUGCGCCUGAUUAGCUUGUUGGUGGGGUAACUGCCUACCAAGGCGAUGAUCAGUAGGGGCUCUUAGCGGAGUGGCCCCGAGAAGGAAUCUGAGACACUAUUCCUAGCUCUACGGAGUGCAGCAGCUGCGAAUAUUUUACAAUGCACGAAAGUGUGAUAAAGCAAACCAAAGUGCUUAUCGUACAGAUAAGCUUUUCUUCAGUGUAAAAAACCGGAGGAAUAAGGACUGGGAAAGACCGGUGCCAGCCGCCGCGGUAAUACCGGCAGUUCAAGUGGCAUCCAACUUUAUUGGGUCUAAAACAUCCGUAGCUUGCUUUGUAAGUCUCUUGUGAAAUCUGAUGUCUCAAGCAUCAGGCUUGCGGGAGAUACUGCAAUGGCUAGAGACCGGUAGGCGUAAGGAGUACGGAGAAGGUAGUGGUUAAAUACGUUAAUCUUCUUUGGACUAACGAUUUAGCGAAGGCACCUUACGAGGACGGAUCUGACAGUGAGGGAUGAAGGCCAGGGGCGCAAAACGGAUUAGAUACCCGUGUAGUCCUGGCAGUAAACACUGCUUACUAAACAUCGGGCCCUCUUCGGGAGGAUUCGGUGCUGAAGCGAAGGCGAAGAGUAAGCUACCUGGGAAGUAUAGUCGCAAGGUCGAAACUCAAAUGAAUUGACGGAAUCGAA
rnacentral:rRNA from 1 species